GGCCCCGCUUAGAGCCAAAUCAAAGGGACCAGAUCAGAGGACUGGGCAGGAUUCCUGGCUCCACCCCCAGCAGAAGCUCUGGUCUCCUGGUGAGACUGUCCCAGGAGGAGGAGGAGGAGGAGGAGGACCCCGAGGAAGAAGCAGGCCGAGAGCUGCUGGGGAGCUGGGAAGAAGGCCGCAGCCUGUGAGGAAGAAGGACCAGGACAUCCGUGCAAGGCCUCCGGAGGGAAGUGGCUCUUCUGUACGGAUCGCUGGGGAUCUGCAUUGCCAGCUGGCCACAUGGAAGGUUCUGUUUUGCAAGAGGAGUUGGCUCAACAUGACAUCCAGAGCACCAUCAAAGAUGGCCUCAUCUUAGAGGAUUUCCAUGAAAAGGAGGAGUUUGUCGUAUCCCCCAUUUCCUUCCUCUUCUUUUUCAUGCUAGCAGCCUAAAGCUAGGAGAAUAGCUGCCUGGAGGAAUUAUAUGUUUUUUAAAAUACAUAAUAUACAUAUUACAUAAUUGUUUUUAAUAAUGACUUUUAAAUGGUUCUGUAUUGUAUUUUAACUUUUCUUUGCCCCUCCCCCUUUUGAUCUGUUAUGAUUUAAUUUGUUGUUUCUUUUUAUCUCCUGUUUUAACGUCAUGUUUUCAGCCACUCAGAGAACAAUUUGUGAUGGGGCGGUUAAGGAAUAAAGUUUAUUGUUCUUA